rnacentral:sRNA from 1 species
GUCAGGCACAAUGGAGUGUGCCUGUAAUCCUAGCUUCUAGGAGACUGAGGCAGGAGGAUCACUUGAGGAGCUCAGAUGAUCCAAACUGGGUUAGGCAAUAUAGAAAGACCCUGUCUCAA